rnacentral:ncRNA from 1 species
UAGUUUACUGAAUAGCUAGAGAGGUUAGCACCCCCUUUGACAAGGAUAGAAGAGGCCCUCAGGCCUUACAAAUAAAAUUUAAAAAUCUGU